CUUUCUCGGUCCAUAGAGGAACGUCAGGCGCUGGGAGAGUUUAAGUCGUUGAAGUGGUAGAAAGCGUUUCGGGUGGCGGAGGAGAUCCCUGCCAGUGCAGAGAAGCGUCCGCGGAAUCCAGGAAGUGAUGAGAGACCUGAACUCCUGCAGAGGAUACAGGAGGUGACUGUCAGGAGGCAAAGUGGAGAAGUACACACAGAUCUACCGGCUUAGCCAGGAGCCACCAGUAUUGGGAAGCUUGAACAAUGUGCAAUUUCCCUAUUCUAAGUCUCGACAUAGAACAUCAUCAGGCAGGAAGAGAGCCAGGUGACAAGGUGCUCUGGGAACGUCUGGUGAACCGAAGGGACUGCCUACUGGCCACAGUUCUUUUUCAACAAGGCUAAUGAUAAUGGUGGCCAGGAAUUUUUUUUCUCUCUGCCGGGUGUUGCAGAACCUGAACACUGAGGCCAUAUUGUUCCAGCUUUGACACAUGUUCUUACUUUCUGGUGCCACAAGACAUUCCAGGUUCAUCUCACAUGUUACCCGUCCAGGCCCUGGAAUCAACAAUUUCUGCAAGGAGCUCUGAUUCCUGUCUUACUUAGAGUGGUGUUUGGAAACCAAGAUCUGAGCACAAGAUGUGACACUGGCCAAAAUUUCUGACAAUUACAAGUUGAUGAAAAUUCAGAGUAAUUGGAAUUCAUAUGCUUAUGAGAAUUGGUACAGUUGGUUUGGAAAACAAUUUAGCAUUAGCUAAAUACCAGUAAUUCCAUUGGAAAAACUCUUGCCUGUGUGCAACAAGAGUGCGCACAACUUUGUUCAGAACCGCACAAAACUGAGAUAACCCAAUGGCCAUCGGUCAGAAGAAAGAUGAAUAAAGUGUGUUAUAUUCUUCAAGCAGAAUCCUUUAAAGCAGUGGAAAUGAAAUACAGCUACACACACCAACAUGAGUGACUCUCAGACACAUAAUACUGCCCCAAAAUGAGUAUCUGCAGUAUGACUCCAUUUACUUAAAAUCCAUCCACAUGCAAAAUGACACAAUAUGGGCAUUUGUAGGGAUGCACAAAUGAUCAGAUGAGAAAGCUGAAAAGAAAAGGGAAUGAUAACUACAAAAUCCAGGAUAGUGGUUACAGGUAGGGGGUGGGAGGCAGUGGCCUUCAGAGGUAUUGGUAAUAUCAUUUCUUAAGCUGAAAGAUGGGUUAAUGGACACUUGUUUCAUUUAGGCAGGCAUAUAUGUGUGAAAUACUGCAUAAUGAAGGAGGUAAGGAAGGAAAAAGAAGAGAGGAGGAAAAGAAAGGAUGGAAGGAUGGAGGGAAGUAAAGAAAAACAAAAAAGCAUUCCUGUAUGUGGUAUCUUAAGAUCUAGUUAGUGGUAGUUCAAAUUCUGACAUAAAAUAUCUCUUUGGCUUUGGACGAAUCACUAUACUUCUCUGAGACUCAGUUUUCACACCAGUUAAAUGGGAAUGAUGUACUUUGCCCUCUGUGCUUCCCCGUGUUAUUGUGAGGACAGAAUGAAAUACUUGUACCGAUUAAAUAAUACUUCAAAAAAGCAGCGAAGUCUUCAAAAACAUAAAAGAAAAAAAUUGGGGCGCCUGAGUGGCUCAGUGCGUUAAGCAUCAGCCUUCGGUUCAGGUCAUGAUAAAUCACUAAAGAAACUGCAAUCCGGUUCUACUCAGCCUAAAGGAAGGUAAGAGAGUAGACAAUGUUCAUGUACAUUGAGACUUUACCACUUUAAAACCUACCCCAGGGUGCCUGGGUGGCUCAGUGGGUUAAGCCUCUGCCUUCAGCUCAGGUCAUGAUCUUGGGGUCCUGGGA